UUUAAUUGGGGUAACCCCCAACAUAUUGGGACAUAUAAAAAAAGAAAAAAAAAGAAUAAGUGCACUUGAGUAUAACAAUGGCUGGGUGAGGCCGGUAUAAAUGUCUAUUCUGCACAAGGUACAGACAAGUCUGGUGGGAUCCAUGCCUGGUUCAUUUUAAUAAACGUGAGCUUGUCCACGUUGGCCGUGGACAGGCGGCUGCACUUGUCUGUGAUAACCUCGUGCCGAUCUCACGUCCCCGUGACGGUGACAACGCAUAGGGAUGUCUGCCCUAUCAACUUUCGAUGCUAUUUUCCGCGCCUACCAUGGUGACCACGGGUAACGGGGGAAUCAGGGUUCGAUUCCAGAGAGGGUGCCUGAGAAACAGUUACCACAUGCAAGGAAGGCAGCAGGCGCGCAAAUUACCCACUCCCGACGCGGGAAGGUAGUGACGACAAAUAACAAUACACUACUCUUUCGAGGCCCUGUAAUUGUAAUGAGUCCACUUUAAAUCCUUUAACUUGGAUCAAUUGGAGGACAAGUCUGGUGCAGAGCGACUGACCCAUGCGUGCUGCAGCUGAAA
rnacentral:rRNA from 1 species